CUGGAGGUAUCAGAAGUGCGAAUGCUGACAUAAGUAACGAUAAAGCGGGUGAAAAGCCCGCUCGCCGGAAGACCAAGGGUUCCUGUCCAACGUUAAUCGGGGCAGGGUGAGUCGACCCCUAAGGCGAGGCCGAAAGGCGUAGUCGAUGGGAAACGGGUUAAUAUUCCCGUACUUGGUGUUACUGCGAAGGGGGGACGGAGAAGGCUAUGUUGGCCGGGCGACGGUUGUCCCGGUUUAAGCGUGUAGGUGUGUGUUCCAGGUAAAUCCGGUUCACUUUAACACUGAGGCGUGAUGACGAGGCACUACGGUGCUGAAGCAACAAAUGCCCUGCUUCCAGGAAAAGCCUCUAAGCAUCAGGUA
rnacentral:rRNA from 2 species